rnacentral:rRNA from 1 species
UUGUUGGUAAGGUAAAGGCUUACCAAGGCUUCGAUCAGUAGCUGGUCUGAGAGGACGGCCAGCCACACUGGGACUGAGACACGGCCCAGACUCCUACGGGAGGCAGCAGUGGGGAAUUUUGGACAAUGGGGGAAACCCUGAUCCAGCCAUGCCGCGUGAGUGAAGAAGGCRUUCGUUGUAAAGCUCUUUCAGCCGGAACGAAACGGUUACGGAUAAUACCCGUGACUACUGACGGUACCGGAAGAAGAAGCACCGGCUAACUACGUGCCAGCAGCCGCGGUAAUACGUAGGGUGCGAGUGUUAAUCGGAAUUACUGGGCGUAAAGCGUGCGCAGGUGGUUUUGUAAGUCAGAUGUGAAAGCCCCGGGCUCAACCUGGGAACUGCGUUUGAAACUACAAGACUAGAGUGUGGCAGAGGGGGGUGGAAUUCCGCGUGUAGCAGUGAAAUGCGUAGAGAUGUGGAGGAACACCGAUGGCGAAGGCAGCCCCCUGGGUUAACACUGACACUCAGGCACGAAAGCAUGGGGAGCAAACAGGAUUAGAUACCCUGGUAGUCCAUGCCCUAAACGAUGUCAACUAGUUGUCGGGCCUUUACGGGCUUGGUAACGUAGCUAACGCGUGAAGUUGACCGCCUGGGGAGUACGAUCGCAAGAUUAAAACUCAAAUGAAUUGACGGGGACCCGCACAAGCGGUGGAUUAUGUGGAUUAAUUCGAUGCAACGCGAAAAACCUUACCUACCCUUGACAUGUAUCGAAGCCCGCAGAAAAGCGGGGGUGCCCGAAAGGGAACGAUAACACAGGUGCUGCAUGGCUGUCGUCAGCUCGUGUCGUGAGAUGUUGGGUUAAGUCCCGCAACGAGCGCAACCCUUGUCAUUAAUUGCCAUCAUUUAGUUGGGCACUUUAAUGAGACUGCCGG